AGAAAAGUAUUUAAAAAAAAAAAAUAAAACCUAAUUUGCAAUUAGAAAUUGAGAUUAUCCUUUUCUA
rnacentral:tRNA from 1 species